rnacentral:rRNA from 1 species
CUACGGGCCGCAGCAGUGGGGGAUAUUGCACAAUGGGCGAAAGCCUGAUGCAGCAACGCCGCGUGAAGGAUGACGGAUUUCGGUCUGUAAACUUCUAUCAGCAGGGAAGAAAAUGACGGUACCUGACUAAGAAGCCCCGGCUAACUACGUGCCAGCAGCCGCGGUAAUACGUAGGGGGCAAGCGUUAUCCGGAAUUACUGGGUGUAAAGGGUACGUAGGCGGCUGAUCAAGUCAGAUGUGAAAGCCCGGAGCUCAACUCCGGGAUUGCAUUUGAAACUGGUCGGCUAGAGUGCAGGAGAGGAAAGUGGAAUUCCUAGUGUAGCGGUGAAAUGCGUAGAUAUUAGGAAGAACACCAGUGGCGAAGGCGGCUUUCUGGACUGUAACUGACGCUGAGGUACGAAAGCGUGGGGAGCGAACAGGAUUAGAUACCCCAGUAGUC